ACACAGAAGAAUAUGGCGUGGAAGUGGGAAACGAAACAACAGUUGGCGUUUGAAAAGCUAAAGAAUUCACUUACAAGUGAUACUGUUAUGUCAUACUAUGACCAGAACAAAUCAACGGAAGUAGUUGUUGAUGCAAGCCCAGUUGGACUUGGAGCUAUCCUUUCCCAGGAAGGAAAAAGUGUUGCGUAUGCAAGCAGAUCAUUGACCCAAGUAGAACAACGUUAUUCACAAACAGAAAGAGAAGCUUUAGCCAUCGUUUGGAGCUGCGAACAUUUUCACUUGUACAUAUACGGAUCCAGGUUUACAUUGGUUACUGACCAUAAACCGCUAGAAAGUAUAUUCAACAAUCCGAAAUCAAAACCCCCUGCAAGGAUUGAAAGAUGGCGUUUGCGUUUGCAAGCAUAUGAUUUUCAUGUCAAAUAUAAGAAAGGAGUUGACAACCCAGCCGACUAUAUGUCCAGACACCCGGAUAUACGAACCGAUGAGAAUGGAUCAAAAGAAGAAAAAAUAGGGGAAGAAUUUGUCAACUUUGUUGCACAACAUGCUGUCCCAAAAACUGUUACUUUAUUGGAAGUAGCGGAAAGCACAGCAAAUGAUGCAAAUCUACAAAUGGUUAUUCAAAAUCUGAGGACUGGAAAAUGGAAAACUAAAUCUGACAAUAUGUCAAUGCAGUCGUUUUACAAACUAAGGAACGAGCUGUGUAUUGGAAAACAUGAAGAGAUGGAAAUUCUUUUAAGAGGAUCAAGACUAGUGAUUCCUUCAUCACUACAGAGGAAAAUAGUCGACAUAGCACAUGAAGGACAUCAAGGCAUUGUUAAAACGAAACAAUUGCUAAGGGAAAAGAUUUGGUUCCCUGGAAUCGACUCAAUGGUAGAAAACCUAUGCAAAUCUUGCAUCCCAUGUCUAUCAUCUGUUCCUGCCAACAAGAUAGAACCGUUGAGGAUGUCAAAGCUACCAAACAAACCGUGGUUGGAAGUAAGCGUAGAUUUUUGCGGUCCUUUCCCAUCCGGAGAAUACUUACUAGUGGUAAUUGACGACUAUUCGAGAUAUCCGGAGAUAGAAAUUGUAUAUUCAACUUCAGCAAGAUCAACAAUGACGAAAUUGGAUAAGAUUUUUUCUACACAUGGAAUUCCGAAUAUUGUCAAGACAGACAACGGACCUCCAUUUCGAAGCCAUGAAUUUAACGAAUUUACGAAAUAUAUGGGAUUUACGCACCGUAAAAUUACACCAUUAUGGCCAAGAGCUAAUGGAGAAGUUGAACGGUUAAUGCGGACCAUAGGAAAAGUUGUCAAAACAUCGCAUGCAGAGAGCCGCAAUUGGAAACAAGAUAUUUUCCAAUUUCUGAGAAAUUACCGAGCAACGCCCCAUUCUACAACAAAAGUUCCACCGGCGGAAGCUUUAUUUGGAAGAAAUAUAAAAGUUCGUCUUCCGGAAAACCCUAAAACAACGAAAUUCAGAAAAACGGAAAUGCGGAGACGGGAUGAAAAUCAGAAACAAAAGAUGAAACAUUAUGCAGACAAGAAAAACAAUGCGAAGCAUUCAUCUUUAAGAAAGGGAGACAGAGUUAUUGUUCAACAAAAGAAACGCAAUAAACUAUCUACUCCGUACGAAAUCGAGCCAUUGGAAGUCAUAGGGAAAAAGGGAUCCAUGAUAACAGCAUCAAAUGAAAACAAAACCGUUACAAGAAACUCCAGUGCAUUCAAAGAAAUAAAACCAGCAGAAGUUAUUAUUGACCAGUCUGAUGAAUGCGAUAACGGAGAUGUAAACAACCCAGAAACCAACACAGAAACAACGAAGUCUCCAGAUGCGAUACCAAUGACCCCGCGCUAUAAUUUAAGGCAGAAAACAAAUCGUCCAAAAUAUCUAGAUGAUUAUGUUUCUAAGUAAAACAUAACAAGUCGUGUUGAGAGACAUAAUAAUCCUCUGGCUUGUUCCGUGUAGUUCAGUUUUAUAAUCAAUCUUGUAUUAAUUAGUUAUGUAUAAAUGUUGUGAGUGACUGAUAACAUCUUAUAAACAAAAUGAACGUUUCUAUAUAAUUUGGACAAUGUUAAUAUCAGUGAUAAUUUCAUAAGUGACUUUCAUAAACAAACAAUAAAUGACAACAAUUAAAAUUCAAAGGAAAGGAGGGAUGUAAUGUCCAUUAGUAAGAGUUUAUCUUAAUCCUUCAACCAGCUAGCCAUUAGCGCUUGCUGUGUGUUUAUGUGAGACCAACAAUUGUUUACAUUAUAAAUGUUAGAAUGCAUGGGAAAGCAUUAAUCUGUGUGAAAGUUUAGUUAGAAUAAAUGUAGCAUCCGAACCCAC
rnacentral:sRNA from 1 species